GAUGAACGCUGGCGGCGUGCCUAACACAUGCAAGUCGAACGAAGCUCCUAGACUUGAGUUUUCGGACAAGAGAAAGGGAUGACUUAGUGGCGGACGGGUGAGUAAUGCGUGAGCAACCUGCCUUUCAGAGGGGGACAACAGUUGGAAACGACUGCUAAUACCGCAUAAAGUAUAUUGAUGGCAUCAUCGAUAUACCAAAGAUUUUAUCGCUGAAAGAUGGGCUCACGUCUGAUUAGCUAGUUGGUGAGGUAACGGCUCACCAAGGCUGCGAUCAGUAGCCGGACUGAGAGGUCGAACGGCCACAUUGGGACUGAGAUACGGCCCAGACUCCUACGGGAGGCAGCAGUGGGGAAUAUUGGGCAAUGGGCGCAAGCCUGACCCAGCAACGCCGCGUGAAGGAAGAAGGCUUUCGGGUUGUAAACUUCUUUUGGCAGGGACGAAAAAAUGACGGUACCUGCAGAAUAAGCUCCGGCUAACUACGUGCCAGCACG
rnacentral:rRNA from 1 species